GCUUACGGCCACACCGGCCUGGGUACUCCUGAUCUCGUCCGAUCUCGGAAGCUAAGCAGGGUCGGGCCUGGUUAGUACUUGGAUGGGAGACCGCCUGGGAAUACCAGGUGCUGUAAGCU
ensembl:rRNA 5S_rRNA 5S ribosomal RNA